AAAAGGUUAUGGGUGAUGAGUAGAGGAAGGUGAUGGAGAAAUUAAAAGUAGUAGGGAAAUGAUUACAAAGAUGGGGAAUGAGAAUAAAAAAAAAUUACAGAAAGGGCUGUCUAGAAAGUUACUUGCUCGAAUUGAAGAACUGGAUAGAAUAGAGAGGUCAAAUGAGAAUUUGGAAGAAUUAAUUGAUGCCAAAAUUAAUUUAAAUAUGGAG
rnacentral:lncRNA from 1 species